GAUGAACGCUGACAGAAUGCUUAACACAUGCAAGUCAACUUGAACUUCGGUUUGGGAGGCGGACGGGUGAGUAACGCGUAGAGAACUUGCCUCACAGAUAGGGACAACAUUUGGAAACGAAUGCUAAUACCUGAUAUUAUGAUUUUAGGGCAUCCUAGGAUUAUGAAAGCUAUAUGCGCUGUGAGGGAGCUUUGCGUCCCAUUAGCUAGUUGGAGAGGUAACGGCUCACCAAGGCGAUGAUGGGUAGCCGGCCCGAGAGGGUGGACGGCCACAUUGGGACUGAGAUACGGCCCAGACUCCUACGGGAGGCAGCAGUGGGGAAUAUUGCACAAUGGGCGCAAGCCUGAUGCAGCGACGCCGCGUGGGGGAUGACGGCCUUCGGGUUGUAAACUCCUUUCGUUAGGGACGAAGCCGCACCUUUUUUGGGUGUGGUGACGGUACCUUUGUUAAGAAGCACCGGCUAACUACGUGCCAGCAGCCGCGGUAAUACGUAGGGUGCGAGCGUUGUCCGGAAUUACUGGGCGUAAAGAGCUCGUAGGUGGUUUGUUGCGUCGUCUGUGAAAUUCCGGGGCUUAACUUCGGGGUGGCAGGCGAUACGGGCAUAACUAGAGUGCUGUAGGGGAGACUGGAAUUCCUGGUGUAGCGGUGGAAUGCGCAGAUAUCAGGAGGAACACCGAUGGCGAAGGCAGGUCUCUGGGCAGUAACUGACGCUGAGGAGCGAAAGCAUGGGGAGCGAACAGGAUUAGAUACCCUGGUAGUCCAUGCUGUAAACGGUGGGCGUUAGGUGUGGGGGCCGGUUUGGUUUCUGUGCCGUAGCUAACGCAUUAAGCGCCCCGCCUGGGGAGUACGGCCGCAAGGCUAAAACUCAAAGGAAUUGACGGGGGCCCGCACAAGUGGCGGAGCAUGUGGAUUAAUUCGAUGCAACGCGAAGAACCUUACCUGGGUUUGACAUGCACCAGACGGUUGUAGAGAUACGUACCUCCCUUUGUGGUUGGUGUGCAGGUGGUGCAUGGUUGUCGUCAGCUCGUGUCGUGAGAUGUUGGGUUAAGUCCCGCAACGAGCGCAACCCUUGUCUUAUGUUGCCAGCACUUUGGGUGGGGACUCAUGAGAGACUGCCGGGGUUAACUCGGAGGAAGGUGGGGAUGACGUCAAAUCAUCAUGCCCUUUAUGCCCAGGGCUUCACACAUGCUACAAUGGUUAGUACAACGCGCUGCGAGCCUGUGAGGGUGAGCGAAUCGCUGAAAGCUAAUCUCAGUUCGGAUUGGGGUCUGCAACUCGACCCCAUGAAGUCGGAGUCGCUAGUAAUCGCAGAUCAGCAAUGCUGCGGUGAAUACGUUCCCGGGCCU
rnacentral:rRNA from 1 species